CAGGGAGAAGCUAACACUGGAUAGUGAGGUUGGUUGACGGGAGAGGUUAACACUGGGUUGGGAGGUUGGCUGACUGGGACUGGAGGAUAAUUUAUUACUUGCAUUACAGGGAGGGAGAGGAGUACAUAUGGGCUCUAGUGUGCACCCUAAAGCAAAAACACGCCACAUGUAUAUGUAUGUGUGUAUAUAUACACACAUAAAUACACUGCUGUGUGUGUGCGCGCUGCAUGAGGGUGGUUUGAGGGUGUUGUGUGUGUGUGUGUAAAGGUGCUGUUAGGGUGAUGUGUGUGUGAGGGUGUUUGUGUUUGUUAGGGUCCUGUUAAUGUGCUGUUUCUGUGCUGUGUGUGAGAGGGUGCUGUGUGUGUGUGUGUGUGCUGUGUGUCUGUGUGUGCUGUAUGUGUGUAGGUGAUUGUGGAGGUGGGGGCAGAUCAGUUAAUAUCCCCCCUCCCAUUGGCGGAUCCGGGGGGGGGGCAACGGGGCAAUUGCCCCCCC